rnacentral:rRNA from 1 species
CCCUUAGAUGUUCUGGGCCGCACGCGUGCUACACUGAGUGGAUCAGCGGGUCAGGUUGCGCGAAAGCGUUUCCUAAUCUUUAAAUCCACUCGUGAUGGGGAUUGACGGUUGCAAUUUUCUGUCAUGAACGAGGAAUACCUUGUAAGCGCGGGUCAUCAUCCCGCGCUGAAUACGUCCCUGCCCUUUGUACACACCGCCUGUCGCUACUACCGAUUGAAUGGCUUAGUGAGAUUUCCGGAUCGGCGUUGGGGAGCCGGCAACGGCACCCCUUGGCUGAGAAGUUACUCAAACUUGGUCAUUUAGAGGAAGUAAAAGUCAUAACA